GUCAAGAUGGCCGAGCGGUUAAGGCGUACGACUCAAGUUUUAACAACUUGGAUUCCUUCAGGAAUUCACAGCAUUCGUAUGGGGCAACCUUCGUGGGUUCGAAUCCCACUCUUGACA